GUCUAGCCAACCUAGGCCGCCAGACCGAAACGUGGACGUGGACGUGGACGUCGCACGUCCCUUUUUAGCCCCCUCCACCCGGGGCGCACAGUAGACCCGCGGCCGUGGCGCCCGUCCGUCGGACCUGGACCUCUUCCGGGCGGACGGGAGAGACGGCCCACGCGCAUGGCUAAGGAGAGUAGCGGCGGUGGGCGCAGCGUGCACGGUGGCGAGCGAGCCAACGCUCCUUCCUUCCUUCCUUCCUCCUUCCCUCCUCAAGGAAGGUGAACUGAGCGAGAGGGCUCUUGUCUAGUUUAGGCGGAGCUUAAGGGGCUAGGUCGUCGCGCCGGUCGGUAGAGGAGACGAGGGUAGGAAGGAGGGAGGAGGUGCGGGUCUAGGGAGAGCGAGGGAAGGGGUGUGUCUUGGUCGCCAUGGGGUGGUGGUGGGGGCGGAAGGACGGUCAUCAUCUAGGGAAUACUCGACCAACCGACACCAAAGUGAAGUCAAACCCCCGAUGAUUCUACCCAGUCGUCGACCCGUCUCUGUUCUAACCUAGUUUGGAUUGUCGACUACUGUAUCGCUCGCGGAAGAUGAAGAGUGAGGACGAGAGGGGACAACAGAGGAUGACCCUAACGUAGAAGGCGUUCUAUUCUAUGAGGAAGUCUGGGCUCACCCACAUCGUAAGACGCGGUUGGCGAAGUCGUGAUCAGCCAGGCCUUCAUUUAGCCGCCCGGGAAUCCUUCUUUCGUAGAUCUGUCCUCAGGUUAUUGAUACUUGAAACGUCUAAAACCAAAAGGCAUUAAUAUUGACCAUCUCCUCAAAUCGACUCUAUCAUUCAUGAGUUAUCGUUCGUCAGUGUCACCGGUACCUCUUCCGACGCCCGUUAGUCCGUCCCUUUCAGAACUUCUUCCCUUUCUUCUUCGUCCGCUUCCUACUCGACCUGGCGGUCUUCGUCCGACUCUUCUUCUCCGCAGCCGACCUCUUUCGCGAGCGUUUGAGACGACGGUAGUAGAGUCUCGACCUCUUCUUCUUCGUCUUCUUCUUUCUCCUUGUCCUUUCCGACCUGCUCCUUCCGCGAAGCUAUCGGCUUCGUCAGCGAGAAGUACAAGAGCAUCCACUCCUGAGGCUACUUAGGGCGGUAGACCACGACUUGUUCGUGUCUUCUACGUUGCUGACCCUGGGGAGCCGACCAAACCUGAAGUGAGACCUGUGCGUUCCGCGUCGACUAUAGAUGAGGGGACCACCUGAAUACACGCCGUUAGUUCGAAUACGAAGGUCCCCCUCCACCUAACUGACCCCCUUGCGCGUAGGCGACGGUUGGACCCCCCUUCACUCCCUGGACUUUCGCAGGAUGAUGGUUCCUUGCACGGUGGUCAGUUGUCAGCGGACGGGUCCGAAGUACCGACGGGUCCGGCAGAGCAGCGACGUCUAGGCUCUUCUGAGCAGGAGAGGUCCGGUCCCUCAGCGGCGGCGCUGGCAGCAAUUAUCCUACGAGCCGCCGCGGUUGUCCGAGUUGGAAAUGUCCCUCUAUACUUCUUCCUUCUAUAUAUGUUGGAGCAGCAGUAUCACAAGAACAUGUAUUAUCAGUGGCUUCCACACGACUGAUAAAACGGACGCACGUCGACAAGGUCGGUAGUCCUCUUAGACUACCGCGUUGAACAAAGCGGGAAAACAAAAGCAGCCAGCCACAUUAUCCUAUAAAACGCAGACAACAAUAACAGCCAUAACAUUACUUUGUUCAUACUAAAGCUAAGAGAACGACGAUCGACCCAAAAGAGAGCUUUCAGAUAUAUAUCAAGAACAAACGCAAAGGAGUGUUUUAUUUUUCCUCGGACACCUUACUUUUUGGAAAAUGGG
rnacentral:rRNA from 1 species